GCGGGUGUAGCUCAAUGGUAGAGCACCAGCCUUCCAAGCUGGCUGUGGGGGUUCGAUUCCCCUCACCCGCUCCA
rnacentral:tRNA from 1 species